UACGAAGGGGGCUAGCGUUGCUCGGAAUCACUGGGCGUAAAGGGUGCGUAGGCGGGUCUUUUAAGUCAGGGGUGAAUCCUGGAGCUCAACUCCAGAACUGCCUUUGAUACUGAGGAUCUUGAGUACGGGAGAGGUGAGUGGAACUGCGAGUGGUAGAGGUGAAAUUCGUAGAUAUUCGCAAGAACACCAGUGGCGAAGGCGGCUCACUGGCCCGUAACUGACGCUG
rnacentral:rRNA from 1 species